GUCUACAGCCACACCACCCUGAAUGUGCCUGAUCUCCUCUGAUCUCAGAAGCUAAGCAGGGUUGGGCCUCGUUAGUACUUAGAUGGGAGACUACUUGAAGACCACCUGGGAAUACCAAGUGCAAUAGGCU
ensembl:rRNA 5S_rRNA 5S ribosomal RNA